UAACGCGUAUGCAACUUACCUAUCAGAGGGGGAUAGCCCGGCGAAAGUCGGAUUAAUACCCCAUAAAACAGGGGUCCCGCAUGGGAAUAUUUGUUAAAGAUUCAUCGCUGAUAGAUAGGCAUGCGUUCCAUUAGGCAGUUGGCGGGGUAACGGCCCACCAAACCGACGAUGGAUAGGGGUUCUGAGAGGAAGGUCCCCCACAUUGGUACUGAGACACGGACCAAACUCCUACGGGAGGCAGCAGUGAGGAAUAUUGGUCAAUGGCCGAGAGGCUGAACUAGCCAAGUCGCGUGAAGGAAGAAGGAUCUAUGGUUUGUAAACUUCUUUUAUAGGGGAAUAAAGUGGAGGACGUGUCCUUUUUUGUAUGUACCCUAUGAAUAAGCAUCGGCUAACUCCGUGCCAGCAGCCGCGGUAAUACGGAGGAUGCGAGCGUUAUCCGGAUUUAUUGGGUUUAAAGGGAGCGCAGACGGGUCGUUAAGUCAGCUGUGAAAGUUUGGGGCUCAACCUUAAAAUUGCAGUUGAUACUGGCGUCCUUGAGUGCGGUUGAGGUGUGCGGAAUUCGUGGUGUAGCGGUGAAAUGCUUAGAUAUCACGAAGAACUCCGAUUGCGAAGGCAGCACACUAA
rnacentral:rRNA from 1 species